UCCUGAGAGACCAACCCUGAGAAACAGACACUCUGGGGACCCUGGCACUGCCAAGGCCGGACAUGCUUCUGCUGCUAUUGGCCCUGCUCUGGAGGAGGGAGGGGGCUGAUGGCCAGAGGUGGCCCGAGAAGGGGGUCCAGAAAAUUUACAGUCUGCAAGUGAAUGGCUUGGUGACUGUGCAAGAGGGCCUGUGUGUGUUUGUGCCCUGCAACUUCUGGAACCCUGAGAACUGCAGGUCUGACUUAACCUCAGCUCUCGGCUACUGGUUCCAGGAAGGGGCUGUUGUACACCACGAUGCUCCAGUGGCGACAAACAACCCAGAUCGUAAAGUGCGGGAGGACACCCAGGGCCGAUUCCACCUCCUUGGGGACCCCCGGGCCUACAACUGCUCCCUGGACAUCAGAGAUGCACAGAGAAGGGACUCGGGGACAUACUUCUUCAGGGUGGAGAGACAGUCUUCUGCAAGCUGCAGUUACAAACAGAAACUGCUUUCUGUGCAAGUGACAGCUCUGAACCACACACCUGACAUUCUCAUCCCGGGGACCCUGGAGUCUGGACACCCCAGGAACCUGACCUGCUCUGUGCCCUGGGCCUGUGAGAGGAGCACGCCACCCAUCUUCUCCUGGACGUCAGCUGCCCUCACCUCCCUGGGCCCCAGGACUCUCCUCUCCUCCGUGCUCACUCUCACCCCACGGCCCCAGGACCAUGGCAUGCCCCUCACCUGUCAGGUGACCUUGCCUGGGGCCAGAGUGACCACAGUGAAGACCAUCCACCUCAAUGUGUCCUACUCCCCGCAGAACUUGACAGUAACUGCCUCCCAGGGAAAUGGCACAGCACCCACAGCCCUGGAAAACGGCUCGUCAUUUUCAGUCCUGGAGGACCAGUCCCUGCACCUGGUCUGUGUUGUCAAUAGCAACCCCCCUGCCAGGCUGUACUGGGCCCGGGGGAGCCUGACCCUGUGUUCCUCAAAUCCCUUGAACUCUGGGGUGCUGGAGCUGCCUCGAGUGCAGGAGAAAGAUGAAGGAGAAUUCACCUGCCGAGCUCAAAACCUGCUGGGCUCUCAGCAUGUCUCCCUGAGGCUCUCCCUGCAGAGAAAAGCAUGGCCUUUUUCUGAGAGGCUGCUGGGGGCUGCUGGGGGAGCAGGUGUUAUGGCUCUAUUCUUCCUGUGUCUCUGCAUCAUCGUCAUAGCAGUGAGGUCCUGCAGGAAGAAAGCCACAAGGUCAGCAAUGAGCAUCAGGAACAUGGGCAUGGAAGGUGUAAACACUGUCACAAGGUCAGUCUCUCAGGGUCCCCUGAUUGAAUCCUGGGUAAGCAGCCUUCCCCCAGAUGCGGCUACCCUCUCCUUGGGGGAGGAAGAAGAGCUCCAUUAUGCAUCCCUCAGCUUUCAUGGGACAGACACUUGGGGCCGGCAGGAACAGGUGCCAACUGGUAUUGAAUACUCCGAGAUCAAGAUUCACAAAUGAGAGCCUGCUGAGACCCAGCCCUGGCUUGGGGGAUCUUGGCACCUGAGGGGCAAAGAAAAAGUCAGUCUGAUUCCUGUAGAAUUAAAAGGCCUGCAGGCGAUGAGCUAUUCAUUCUCAAGCCAUAUUCCAAAUACCACAUCCACAACGGAUCCCUGCUUCCUCUGCACCACCACCCGCUCUAGCCUUUCCACUUUCUCUUCUGAGCAACCGAGUAAAACAGCUGAGGACAUAGGUUGUGAAGCCGGACUACCAGAAUUUGAGCGCUGCCUCCUCUGUUGAUUGGAACUGGAACGUGGGAAAAAGCACUCAAACUUCCCACAGCUCAGUUCUCUUCUCUGUAAAUGGAGGUGGCGUUCACAACAGUCACUUCCUCUGCAGUGAGACUAUGAGGGCCGCACAGAUUAGAAGAGGGGCUGGCACAUAGUAAGUGCUCAUUUGAUGUUAGCUGACCAACUCCCCCUGGGACUCACUCUUGCUCUGAUCUGAGGUCCCCCAGGGCUUUAUGGAGGGGGGCAGCUUUGGACUUGGACCUCAGAGGACAGGACAGGGUGGGGGGUAGAUUUUACCCUACCAUCGUGAGCAUGGCUUUGCAGGGUGGGGACAGCAUACAUGAUGAUGGGCACUGCCUAGGCAAAAGCACAGAGAUGGGAAGAUUUGGGGAACAUGAGCGUCAGAGGUGGGCUACUGUACUUACGGGACAGCUGGAUCUGGAAUUCCCUGUACAAGGUCAGCUGGGUCGCAGGGUUCUCCACGAUGCAUCUGUAUUUGCCCAUCUGGUCCCAGGUCAGACUUUGGAGAGUGACGCUUGCCUCUGAGAAGCUCAGGAGAGAGCCAUUGUGGAUCCACUGGUACGUGGAACUGGGUUUGGAAAUGGCAUCACACUCCAUCAUCACCUGGGAGCCAAUCUUAGCAGACAGGACGCCUUUGGAGGUAAUGGGACUGGUACUCAGCCGCACAUUGUCUGGCCCAUCUGCAGAGAUGGCAGGAGACCCGUAGCUAUGUUUCUGACCCCUUGGGAUCCUGUCUCCUUCCCUCAAUCCACACACAGUCCUCCCUUACCAGAAGGUGCUCCACCGUUGCACCCCAAGUAUCCCCUAGAUCCAACACAUGCAAGGCAGCUGUGCCAACAACAUUACUAUAACUAUAACAUCUUCCAUUUCAAGCAUCUAUUAUGAGUCAGUCCCAUGACAGACCUUCACAUCAUGAUAAAAUAGGAGUAGAAGUAAUAUAUCAGGUCCCCUGAACGUUGGGCUCUGUUCUAAACACUUUAUAGGUUCAUACAUUUGCUUAAUCCCCAUAACAACCCAUGGGUUAAUUUUAUAGAUGAGGCAAAUGGGGUUCCCAAAGAGAGGAUUAGGGAUUUCAUAGCAUCCUACUGACCCACAAAUGGACUAAACAAAUUCCCCUAUGGCCUGGGAGGAAUCUCCCUGCAGAAGCAGAUCCUAGGUCCUGGCUCUUGACUGCAAACCUGCAGCCAGCAAGCUGUGUGUGGAGGUCAGAAACUGUCUGCUCUGUGACCACUUUAUCUCCAUGAUUGCCAGAGCAUGCUUGUUAGGAAAUCUGAUGGACUUCGUGUGGUUCUAGAUUUAGAUGUGAACCGUUCAAGACUUGUGCUUUUUCACAGUCCGAAGAUGUGAAAGAGUUUGGUAAAUGUGAAAAAGUCCCCGAACAUUGUAAAGAUCCAAAGUUCAUUAUAUUUAUAAGAUGAUGUCUUCGAUUUACAAGACCCGUUUGAUAUUUUGGAGGAGGUCUGGCUGGAUUGUGUACUUGGGUUGGUGGGUGGUUGAAGGAUCAUGGAGAAAAGAGAAUGAAUGAAAUCUGUCAUUUAGCUUUAAAAUCAAACUGUUUAAGGGAGGAUAGCCAGUUCAAUCUGAGUAAAAGGAAAAGUGAAGGUGAUUUUACUAAAUUUAGAAAACCAGAAUAAAAAGACCAAUGUAUCUGAAGGCUCAAGGGAACAUGGGAUUUGAAUAUUUAACAAGUUGAAUGACAUUUUUAAGAAACUAUUAGUUGUAAGAAGUCCUGUCUUUACAAAAGCCAUAUCUGAACAAAUUUGCACUCUUUCUAAUCUGAGGAGUAGCAAGUUGGGUCCCCAUUUUAAAUAGCAGAUCAUUCUGUGCCCUGAGGGUGAUUCUAAGUCCAGAGAGCUGAGAUUCAAACCCAGAUACAGCUGGCUGGGGGCUGACUCAUGGUGUUUCCUCUCCCCGGUUCUGCCUGUAUUAUUGCUACAUCCCUGGGUGGCCCUAAGCCCACCCCCAGCAUUACUCCAGGGCCCCAGACCACUCACAGGCCACAGUCAGAGAGAUAAUUUUACUAUUCUGAGGAAUCUCCAGGAUGCUGUCUAUCUCGCAAUAAAGUGUUCUGUCAUAGCGGCUGACUCUGUGAAUGACAAGGGUCUUGAGGUCCGGGGAGAUUGUCAUCCGGUCACUGCUGGACACCAGUGUAAAAUCCACAUACCACUUGACAGUAGUGGCAUUGGUGUAGCAAAUGGCGGCCACAGAAUCCACGUCUUCUACAAGAGAGGUGGCGUUGGCCCAGAUGUCUGGCUUGCCUUCCACAUCUGGGGGAAGCAGGAAGAAGACAUUAGGGGUGGGGUCUGCCUCCCCAAGCUCUGCUUGGGAGAGAAACCCCGAAGGGGCUUCCGGGGUAGGUUGGUGAGAAGCCAAGAGUUGUAAGAUGGGGUCUGAGGUCUUGGCAGGGGAGCAGCCCUAGAGCAGGGAGGGACAGAGAAGUAGGGAGUGGGCACAAGUGGUUGAGGUGUGGACACUAGUCUGAGUCUCCCAUCCUAGGUGUGGAGUCAUCACUGUGCAUCCACUGCAGUAAUGGUGAGUUCUUGAGAUAGAUGUGUGGCCUAAUGGUUGUUUCUGAACCCAGGACCUAAAACGAGAACACCCCCAACUGAGGAGCCAUCGGUAGCAUUCAAUGUGACAGGUGACAUUUGAACUCUGUAUAAUAAUUGCUCCCUUUAUCUGAGUCCCAUUCACUUUACAGUUACUUACAGAUUACUUACAGUUACUUGCACAUACAGAUACUCCCUCCAACCUUACAAAAGACAGAGGAGAUACUAUCCCCAUUCUACAGAUGAGGAAACAGAACACCACAGAGGGAAGAUGAAGGCUCAAGGCCAUGGGACAUAUUCAUAGUCAGAAGUAAACACAGGACUUCUUAUCUCCAAAUCCCCACUCUACCCACUCAGCCCCGUGGAGCCCCCAGGAGCUGUCUAUAGUAGACAGAAUUCCAAGACGGCCUCAUGACUUCAAUCUGUAUAGUCCCUGCCCCUCAAAUGUGGGUAGAGCCUAUGACUUCCUUCUAACCUAAACAAUAUGGCAAAAGUGAUGGACUGUCAUUCCAAUCGUUACCCUUAUGUCAUAUAAGACUCCUUCUUAACAGAGUUAAAACUUCUUAACAGAGUCUCCCUUUCCCAGAGAGGCAGAAUUCAGUUGACCUUGAAGAAUCAAAGAGUCAUGAUGUGACAUUCCCAUGGACAGAGCCAUACAUGAGACCACAGCCCCACCUUGCGAGUCUCAGAGCACAGCACUUGCCAGACUUGCCAGACAGGGAUGUGUGCUAAUAAAUGGGUAUUGUCUAAGACUGCCACUUGUGGCUCUUUGUUAUGCAGCAGAACUAACUGAUACCCUGAGAGUGAAACUGGAACCCUUGAAGGAAACCAGUGACCCAUCUCAGCAGGAGAAGCUGGACUAUAUCUGCCAAGUCUCCCCCUGUCACCUGCAGGUGGAGGAGACUUGGACAGUAUGAUCUCCCAGGGACCUCACUCCCAAAGCUCCCAGGUCUGGAAAUGGGCAACCUGCCAACUCACCUUGUAUUUCAAGCCAGCCGGUUGCUGUCUGGGUCCCAUUGCCAGUGUCCACCCUCACAGUGUAGUUCCCUGUGUCACUUAAUGCAGAUCGCCUGAUCAUCAGGUCACCUAAUGUGGUCACAUUCUCCCGGCCUCUGUACAUGGGCCCAGUCUGCCAGAAAUUGGAGGGAGGUUUGUAGCUGACGAUCAUAUUGUCCUCAGUGUCAUUUGCACCACGAUGCCAGCUGAAUUCCAGAGCAUCUUCGGUGGCAUUCUCAAGGACUAUGAUGGUCCGAAGUCCCUUGAACCCUAAGAGUGACUCUGGGCUGAUGUAGAUUUGGCUAGAGGCUUGGCGGGUCCCCCAGGCCA